rnacentral:misc_RNA from 1 species
ACAAAUCUUUUGCGAUUGAAACUGAGAGUUGCUAUACAAUUUGAGGAUGUAGUUGACAUUUGUCGUACUGAUGAUCACUAUACAAUGUGGAUUGUGUGACAAGGUGUCACCAAAACCAGGCCUGAAACUAUUCAGAGAGGAUUAUAAAAGCGUGGAGGAGACCUGCCUGGCUGUUGGAUUCGUCAGAAACAACUGUAAAAAUGAUUCUAAGACUACAAAGACAAGUGAAAAUCACCGAGUGGUUGCUUUUGAUGUUCGAUUAAAAAAUCAUAAAAGAAAUCUUGCUACAAAAGCCCGCAUUGUGUUCGAAACAGUUGAUCUAAACGAAGGACUUAGAUACAACCCAUCUACCGGAAUCUUCACGGCCCCUAGCGGCGGGAUCUACGUGUUUGACUGGACAGUUCUUGCAUGGCAAGGUGAAUAUGCCCACACGUCACUUUUUGUGAACGACCAGAUCAAGUCAUGGAACAACUGUUAUGACGGUGCUUCUAAGACAUGGCUACCAUGUAGCAAAAUGACCAUAGUGAAGCUAGAGCAAGGAGAUAAUGCUUGGAUCGGAGUUUUCAGUGGACCAGCUAAUAUGCAUCAAUAUACAUCGUUUUCAGGUCAUAAACUGUAAUCAGAAUGCAAAAUCAAAACUAUUUUCAAAUAUGGAUAUUAAAAAGGAAUUAAAACUUGCAAUAACCAUAUUUCUUAAUUAUAUUGAUGCAAUGUCUUUUACACUGCUAAAGUUACCUCACCUUUCUAAGCUACCCCUUAAAACAGGCAUUAGCCUCUUUCAGGUGUUCCUUACAUAAAUUACGUAUUGAAGAAGGUAGAUUUGAGGGAAUUGAUAGUGCGGAUAGAUUAUGUCAACUUUGUAAUUUAAGACAAAUUGAAAAUGAAGUACAUUUUCUAUUUCACUGUCCAAUGUUAGCGGACUUAAGAAGAAAUUUUUUAUUUCACUGUCCAUCAGAAAGAAAAGAUGUUCCAAUUUGUAUUGAUCAUCUUUUUAACAGCAAUGACCAAAAUGUCAUCAAAUGUACAGCAAUUUUUAUCAAAAAAGGUCUGUCAAUAAGACAAGAAAUGCUAACUCUAUGACAAUCUAUGUUAAACAAUACAGUAUUGUUACAAAUUUUCUAUGUAUAUGCAUUAUGUAUAUAGUAGCUUCCUAUCAUAUCGCGGGUUCUAUUGUAUCGCGGUAUUUCUGUUUACGAAUAGUAGCACGCGCUGAAAUUGACAUUUGAGGAUGGGAUAUUUUUAGACAUAGUAAACAGAGGCACGCUGAACAUCACUGGAGUAUAUAAUAGAGGAAUCCCCCAAUAACAUUAGUUUUUGGAAAUAUUUCAGUAUUGAUAGAUUUUUCCACAAAAUAAUUUAACUACCGCGAUAUCAUAGGAUGGGCUCAUAUAACAUGUUUAUGUUGCAUAUAAAUAUGAUGCCUAGAUGUACAGUGGGCAAUGGCCUUUAAGUACCAAAUAAACAUCUUAUCUUAUCUUA